rnacentral:misc_RNA from 1 species
GGAUGAAGAACGUAGCGAAAUGCGAUAAGUAAUGUGAAUUGCAGAAUUCAGUGAAUCAUCGAAUCUUUGAACGCACAUUGCGCCCGGCAGUACUCUGCCGGGCAUGCCUGUUCGAGCGUCAUUUCAACCCUCAAGCCCUGCUUGGUGUUGGGGCCCUGCGGCUGCCGCAGGCCCUGAAAGGAAGUGGCGGGCUCGCUACAACUCCGAGCGUAGUAAUUCAAUAUCUCGCUUAGGGCGUUGGGCGGCGCUCCUGCCGUUAAAGACCAUCUUUAACUCAAGGUUGACCUCGGAUCAGGUAGGAAUACCCGCUGAACUUAAGCAUAUCAAUAAGCGGAGGA